rnacentral:sRNA from 1 species
AAACACAAGAUGGGACAUCGCAAAGAA